ensembl:lncRNA
AUUACAGAAAAGUUUGCAGGCUUCAGCUCUAUUAAAUGGCUAAAAUGGAAAAAGAAGUGAGAACCCAUAGAAAUAGUUACCAUGGAGACUUCAACAUUCCAGGAAUGAUGAGCUGACUGGACCUAAUUGUGACCUGGGAGCCCUGUCUAAAGGACGGACUGGCAACCAAAGCCGACUUUCUCCCCAGGACUUUGAGAAGCAGCACCUCCUCAGGGGAUGGCGUCUCAGAGAGCAACUGAGAUAUACUCAGACUCAAAAUAUACUCAACUUUCCUUCAUCUAGUGUAUUCUUUAUCUUGAUCUGAUGUCCUGGACGUUUCUCACAGAAGAAGGUUAAUAGGAGAUCAAGAUUGGCAGGAAGAGGGAAGAACGGAGGUGGGGAUUUGACUACAUGGGCCAGAAGGGGAACAAGCAGGAAUAUGGGUAGCUGAGAAGAGAACUGUGUAGAAGAAAAGGUGCCUUUGGUAAAAAGAGAUGGUUAAAAAGAUAAGGAGAGAAGUGGUGUUAAACGAUGGAUUGAAGACAUUAAUUUAUGUUUCUGCCCUCCCCAGUUCCCACCAAAUUGAUAGUAAAGUAAUUAAAAUCAUAAGAUUUUAGAAAAUAAGAGGAGAGGCAACAAUGGAUGGGAGAUGUCAGCAUGUUCUUGGAAGAAUGAAACCAGAAGGCAGGAAGAUGGAAACCAAGGGCUGGUGAUGAGAGUUUUGACCUGUUCAGGAUUUACCAGCAACAGGGCCUGAUCUCGGAUUCCAGAGGAGACUUGGUUUACAUGGUCUCCUAUUUUUUGACGCGCUUUGGAAGAGAAUAACAUGGUCAGGCCUAAGAGUAGCUGUGAAAUAAAGGAAGCAUGUCUUCAGUGCCCUCAAAUGUGUUGUCCAUCGUGCCUGAUGCUCUUCCUUUCUUUCCCUUUCCUUCUUAUUUCAUUAAGUACAAUUUAUUAUCACGAGAUACCUCUUACAGGAGUACUGAGCCAUUUUGAUGGUAGAGUAUGAAGUUACAGGAACAGUACAGUAACCAUCUACCAAUAGAACUGAUGUUAGAGCUGAUUACGGAUUCCCAGGUUGCAGUUUCUUAAGUGAGAUAAAAAGGAUACCCUGAUCUGAGCACGUCUGCUUUUUCAUGUAUAAAUAAAUUCUUAUAAGGAACUUCAUAAGAAGCUCAUUAGAGUUUUCAACUCACCAUGCCUUAAGACAGUGGUCAGCAAACUUUUCUAUAAUUGGCUAUAUAAUAAAUAUUUUAGGAUUUAAAUGUCAUGUGAUCUCUGCUGCAACUACUCAACUCUGCUGUCGUAAUAAUGUGAAAGCCGCCAUAGACAAAAGCUAAACAAAUGGUGUGUCCAAGUUCCAAUAAAAGUUUAUUUACAAAAACAUAUGGCAAGUGGUUUGGCCAAUAUGCAAUAGUUUGCUAACCCCUGCCUUACGUCCAAUAUUACCUCGUCUCUUGGAUCAUUCCAGUUUCACCUCUCCAAUGUGCUCUAGUUCACCUAAAGAGAAACACUAUAAAAUAGAGUGUUCCUCAUAUUUUUUUUCAUUACCUCAAGGAUGGCAAUGAAACACAACUCUGUGAAAUUCUAAGCCUCUUAGGAACUUAUUCUCCUCCUACUAAGUCUUAAUUUUAACUAUUUAAGUUAUUUAUAGGGCUACGUUUUUAGCCCCUAUAUAUGACUUCAGGAACUGGAGAGGGAACAUUCUCAAGGGAGGACAGAUGCCCCCAAAUGGUACUCACCAUCUGGUCAAACAAAGUAGGAACCAAUUGUCUUUGAGGGUAAGGUGUGAACACCUGUUCUUUCUUGCAGAUUGAGGAUUUACUGUUUCUGGUGUAUGAAGGUGUGUUUGUCCGCAGCUAUGCAGUUAAGCCUAUUUUUAAAGCUUGAGCAAAUACAUCCUCAAGUUGGGCCACGGUUGGUUGAUUUAUGACUCAAGAAUGCUAAAUUCCCAAGUUGGAAUCUGACCAACAGUUACAUUGUUCUGUACACUGCCUGCUGCUUCCUACACAGAUAAUUACCGGCGGCUAAUUUACAGAUGCCAGCGGGAACGGAAAUGGAGUGAAUGGCUGCCCACAGAGCUAGGAAUUGGAUUUUAUCAGGAGUCAUGGAGAAGCACAUUUGUUCUCAGAAAAAGAAAAAGAAAAGGUCCAGAAAAGUGACUAGUUAAGAAAUACGACAGCAAAAUGAGUUAUUCAAAAGGCAGCGCAGCAUUUAAAAACAUUGCUUCAGAGUUAGACAACCUGGAUAUAAAAAUCCUUAUCGCUCCACUUAUUAUGUGGAAACCUUUGCCUGAGUUACUUGACCUCUCUAAGUCUGAAUUCCUAACCUGCAACAUCAAUGUAAUCAAUAGUGGAGCCUGUUUCAAAAUUGUGAGGAUUAAAUAAAAUAAACACCUGUAGAACAUUUAGCUCAGUAUCUGGAACAUGGUAAAAGAUCAAUAAAUGUUAGCUAUUAUUAUAUUCUAAUUCAUGCCUCCAGCCUACUGUUUACUCUAAGUUCACUUCUGUAUUCAACAGUCAUGAACGAACAUUUUUACCUUCCUCAUUUGCUCAAGGUUAUUGGAGAUUUCAAGAGUAACUGAUUACUUACCUUAUAGAUUAGAAACACGAGAUCCAUGAAUUUAAGUAAAUUGCCCCAGAUUAGAGAAUGAUGGAACUAGAAUUAAAACCCACUCACUGAUCCUCUUAUUAGUAUAGAACUUCCCAAAUUUGAGCUUAUCCAGAAGAGUGCACUGAUGGUUUUUGGCUCAGCUUAGUUCUCAUAUUCUACCAAUCUUAGCAUCAAAGUCAAAUUUAUAAACGUAGUGACCUUUGGCAAAUUGUAUCCCCCAAUCUUGGUUUUUCACUUAUAAAAUGAGCAGCUUGG